rnacentral:rRNA from 1 species
AUUGAACGCUGGCGGCAGGCCUAACACAUGCAAGUCGAGCGAGCGGCGGACGGGUGAGUAAUGUCUGGGAAACUGCCUGAUGGAGGGGGAUAACUACUGGAAACGGUAGCUAAUACCGCAUACAAUCAAAGCUGCCCAGAUGGGAUUAGCUAGUGGGGGGGGUAACGGCUCACCUCGGCGACGAUCCCUAGCUGGUCUGAGAGGAUGACCAGCCACACUGGAACUGAGACACGGUCCAGACUCCUACGGGAGGCAGCAGUGGGGAAUAUUGCACAAUGGGCGCAAGCCUGAUGCAGCCAUGCCGCGUGUGUGAAGAAGGCCUUCGGGUUGUAAAGCACUUUCAGCGGGGAGGCGUUACCCGCAGAAGAAGCACCGGCUAACUCCGUGCCAGCAGCCGCGGUAAUUC